GCUGGUACCAUCGGAAGUCUCCACACUGAACCUUCGGGCCCGACCUCAGAAUCGUGUCGCACAAUUUCAACUUCAGGUCUUGCCAGAGCGAUGGCGAAGAGGGCGACGAAGACGAUGAGGAACUUCAUGUUUAGAUUUUGUGUAGUGCGUUUGAGGCUUCAAAGGUGUCCAGUUGAUAUAACAAUAGCAAAGAAGCAUCAUAUAAGUUUACGAUAAACUAGUUUAGCACGAACGUAUCUGAAGUUUG